CCUAUCUGGUUGAUCCUGCCAGUAGUCAUAUGCUUGUCUCAAAGAUUAAGCCAUGCAUGUCUAGGUACGAGCUGUGUUUAACACGGCGAGACCGCGGACGGCUCAUUAAAUCAGUCGUGGUCCAAAUGGGCUAGUGUUAUCUUACUUGGAUAACUGUGGUAAUUCCAGAGCUAAUACAUGCACCUUAUCCCUGAUGGUUAUGUGUGCAGUUUGUUUUGUUACAUGGGGCUUGUCUUCUGUUUCAAAGUCGCAUUCUGUGCACGCCUGACGGGUGCUUUUAUUAGACCAAACCGCUGGGGGUAAGAGAUCCUGUGUGUGUCUCGUGUUGUCGUUUGCGCUGAGUUUACUCUCGCAUUCACACUCAUUCGCAUGCACCUCUUACUUGACUCGUGAUAUGGUGACUCUGGAUAACCAUUUUGACGAGCGCACGUACUUGACUCUUUGAGUGAGCGGCGCCGCCCUUUCGAGUGUCUGCCUUAUCAGCUAUCAACCGUUCGUUACACGCGACCGAUGGCUUUGACGGGUAACGGGGAAUCAGGGGCAAAUUACCCAAUCCCAGCACAUGGGGGAGGUAGUGACGAAAUCUAACGAUGCGGGCGCCCUUUCUGGGGCCCCGCAAUCGGAAUGAGCACUUUCUAAAACACCUGUUGAGGAGCUACUGGAGGGCAAGUCUGGUGCCAGCAGCCGCGGUAAUUCCAGCUCCAGCAGCAUCUAUUAAAGUUGCUGCGGUUAAAAGGCUCGCAGUUGAAUGUCAGUGCCGAGCGUAGGUCAGGUGGACGUUGGGGCGUGGGAUCCGGCUGAUCGUGUGUGUCUGUUUCGUCUUGCACCUCCGUGUGUGAGUCAAGCGUGGCACGCGGUUAGUUCUCACAAGCUCCCGUCCGUGACAAGCCUCCUCGCUUGCGUACAUACUGGGAAUUUGUAUACUGAGUGUGUAGCGGUGUUUCUGUUUACUGAGUGCGGCCGUGUGUUGGGUGCAUCUGGUUUAUGUUUGACAUUCUCCUAGUGCAUCGCUUACCGGUGUCUUAGCCUGUUUACAUAGCCUUACACUACUCUAAUGGUUUCAAUGUCACCUUGAGUAAAUCAGAGUGCUCAAAGCAGUCGUAAAGGGCUCUUAUGCCCUGUGAACAGUCUUGACAGACUGACUUGAUUUUGCAUGGGAUGUCGGAAGACGACGUCGAGUGCUGGCUCAGAGAAUUGAUAUCAGUGGUAUAAGCCAGCCUCGACGUACUGAUUAAAAGGAAUGGUCGAGGGCAUUGGUAUUGCGAGGCGAGAGGUGAAAUUCUAUGACCCCCGCAAGACCGCCUGAAGCGAAAGCGUCUGCCAAGGACGUUUUCAUUAAUCAUGAACGAAAGUUAGAGGAUCGAAGGCGAUCAGAUACCGCCCUAGUUCUAACCCUAAACGAUGCCAACCAUCAAUCCGCGCGUAGCACCCUUUUUGACGGGCUCGGCGGGCAGCUCCUUAUUCACGGGAAACCAGAGUCUCUGGGUUCCGGGGGGAGUCUGGUUGCAAAGCUGAAACUUAAAGGAAUUGACGGAAAGGCACCACCAGGCGUGGCCGCCGCUUAAUUUGACUCAACACGGGCCAUCUCACCAGGCCAGCACUCUUGCAUGAUUGACAGAUUGAAAGCUCUUUCUCGAUUCAGUGGAUGGUGGUGCAUGGCCGUUCUUAGUUGGUGGAGUGAUCUGUCUGGUUAAUUCCGAUAACGAACGAGACUCUCCCCUGCUAACUAGUCGGUUGGAUCUUGCUCGGUGAGUCGUGCCCCAAGUGUUUGCGCCUUUGGUUAGGUGUUGCAUGCGCCUCUUGCGUGGGGAAUAAUGUUGUCGUGUGCGUGUUCUCAUCGUGUGCUUCGGUAUGCGGUGGGUGUGCGUGUCGAUGGCACCUCAUGCUUGUGUGUGCAAUUACCCCUUUGGUUUGCGACCUUGGAUCGUACACUCCAAGUCCGCCGCUUAUGCAAAAAUUCUUCUUAGAGGGAUCCACGGUUCUGAAGCCGUCAGAGACUGAGAGCAAUAACAGGUCUGUGAUGCCCUUAGAUGCUCUGGGCCGCACGCGCGCUACAAUGCCGGGUUCAGCAGGUUUUUUUCCUAUUCCGACAGGAACGGGUAACCCUCUGAAAGCCCAUUUGAUUACUCCCAACCUCUCGUGUGUGUUAUGUGUUCUGCACCGUUUCUAUGCGAUGUUGGUGGCGUGCUUGGGCCUGGGGCUUGCAAUUCUUUCCCACAAACGAGGAAUGCCUAGUAGUGACGGAUCACUGAGUCCGCCGUGACUCAGUCCCUGCCCUUUGUACACACCGCCCGUCGCUACUACCGAUUGGGUGUACGAGUGAGAGCCGUGGACUGGCAUCCGUAGCUGUAUUCUUAUAUGCGGCCAUCGGUAUUGACGGAAAGAGGUCCGAACUCGUGCACUUAGAGGAAGUAAAAGUCGUAACAAGGUUUCCGUAGGUGAACCUGCGGAAGGAUCAUUA
rnacentral:rRNA from 1 species